AUUGAACGCUGGCGGCAGGCCUAACACAUGCAAGUCGAACGAGUGGCGGACGGGUGAGUAAUGUCUGGGAAACUGCCUGAUGGAGGGGGAUAACUACUGGAAACGGUAGCUAAUACCGCAUACCAUCGGAUGUGCCCAGCUGGGAUUAGCUAGUAGGGGGGGUAAAGGCUCCCCUAGGCGACGAUCCCUUGCUGGUCUGAGAGGAGGACCGGCCACACUGGAACUGAGACACGGUUCAGACUCCUACGGAGGGCAGCAGUGGGGAAUAUUGCACAAUGGGCGCAAUCCUGAUGCAGCCAUGCCGCGUGUAUGAAGAAGGCCUGCGGGUUGUAAAGUGCUUUCAGCGGGGAGGCGUAACCGGCAGAAGAAGCACCGGCUAACUCCGUGCCAGCAGCCGCGGUAAUU
rnacentral:rRNA from 1 species